rnacentral:misc_RNA from 1 species
AAAUCUCAACCUCCUCGGUUUCUUCUGGACGCCGAAGGAGGCUUGGACUUUGGAGGCCUUUGCUGGCGUCUCUCGCCAGCUCCUCUCAAAUGAAUUAGCGGGGUCCUCUUUGCCGAUCCUCGACGUGUGAUAAGAUGUUUCCAUGUCUUGGUUUCUGGCUCUGUCGCCUUUGGGACCCGCUUCUAACCGUCUCAAGUCGAGACAACGUUUGAGCGUGUCUCGACCACGUAC